GACGAACGCUGGCGGCGUGCUUAACACAUGCAAGUCGAACGAUGAAGCCGGAGCUUGCUCCGGUGGAUUAGUGGCGAACGGGUGAGUAACACGUGAGCAAUCUGCCCUUGACUCUGGGAUAACUGCGGGAAACUGUAGCUAAUACCGGAUACGACACCUUGGGGCAUCCCAGGGUGUGGAAAGAAUUUCGGUCAAGGAUGAGCUCGCGGCCUAUCAGCUAGUUGGUGAGGUAAUGGCUCACAAAGGCGACGACGGGUAGCCGGCCUGAGAGGGUGCCCGGCCACACUGGAACUGAGACACGGUCCAGACUCCUACGGGAGGCAGCAGUGGGGAAUAUUGCACAAUGGGCGAAAGCCUGAUGCAGCAACGCCGCGUGAGGGAUGAAGGCCUUCGGGUUGUAAACCUCUUUUAGCAGGGACGAAGCGAAAGUGACGGUACCUGCAGAAAAAGCACCGGCUAACUACGUGCCAGCAGCCGCCGUAA
rnacentral:rRNA from 1 species